rnacentral:misc_RNA from 1 species
CAACCCUUAAGCUUUGCUUAGUGUUGGGAAUCUACUGGUUCUUCUAGUAGUUCCUUAAAUCUAUUGGCAGGGUCUAGGUACACUCUGAGCGUAGUAAUUUAUUAUCUCGCUUCUGUCAGUUGCCUAUACUAUAGCCAUAAACCUAUUAUUUUUUAAU